CCGGGAGGAGCCUAGGUGUGCUCAGUGGAAUCAGGGCUGGACCAGGGCACUCCAGCCAGGACCUCAGGGCAGCUGCUCCGGGACCCCGCCCACUCCCUACACAUCCCCUCACCCUUCUCCCUCUGGUUCGCUGAUUCCCCGUGCUCCUGUCUUUCCUGCCUUUGGCCACUUGGACAUGAUGGCCUCACCAACAGAAAUCCCUCAUGGGGGAUUUUGAAAUUCCCAAAAGAAGGGCUCUGAUUCAUCCUGCUCAUCUUUUGGAGCCAGGACGUGUCACUCAUAGGUCAUCAGCUGUCCUUGGCCAGGUGCCCACCAUAGUGUGAAGGAGGGGAUGGCUGUGGGGUCCUGAUGCAUGGUACCCCCUUUUCUUUGCAGGGGGGGGUACAGGACAGGCUGUGAGGCCUGCCAGCCUGAGAGGGAUGGAAAGGAGGAGACCCUUCUCAUCAAGGAGAUGAGCAUGGCCGGAGAUGCCGGGCCAACAACAUUCAGGUUACUGCUGUCCGGCUCGCUGGGAUCCACUGCCCCUCAUUCCUACACUCGGCCCUGCGCCGGGCACACAGCAUCCUCCCAGCCACCCUCAUAAGUGAGCGAUAUUGUUAUCCUUGUUUCACGGAUGACAAAAUUGACUCCCAAAGGCAGGUAGGACUCCUAGCUCCCCGACCAGGGAUGGAACCCAUACCUCCUGCAUUGGAAGGAGACGUCUUAGCCAUUGGACACCAGGGAAGUCCGCAAAUGCACAGACGUUAAGGGCAGAGUUUGGUGAAUUUCAGCCGUCACUCCUGUCAUUUCUGUCACCCUAGGAAGUUCUCUCCUGCCCCUCCCCCGCCGCACACGGUCCCCCCAGAGGGCCUCGGGAUGGCUGGGCGGCCUGCCCGCUGGUGCCACUCUGCCCAUCAGGGUGCCCUCUCCCAUCACACCCACCUGAGGGUCUGUCUUGCAGCCGUGGUCUGGAGGGCAGCUCGGCUGUCAUCUGCGCUCUGGAGUUGAUGUCUUGCUCAAGCCUCAGAAACGUGUCAGCGUGUGGAAGAGCCUGUCAGUCAUCAUUCUAUUUCCCAGCCUCCCCGCUCUCUCUAGCCGCACUGCCCAGUACCCAGCAGCAUCAAGGGCUGAAGGCCGUGCCUCCUGAAACAGUGGUCCAAUUGCUUCGCAGCGUGGUUAUAGCCUUUGCUACCCCCAUUAGCAGCAUGAGGGGGAAAAUAAAAUUCAAAGCCCA
ensembl:lncRNA